GCCGCGGUUGUGGAUGCGUGUUGGACAUCCUGCGGCUUACCCCGGCGCCUACUUGACGCCCCGAGCUCCCCUGUCUCUCCCUGGUAACCCUAGUCCCCCAAAUCCCCUCUCCUCACUCAUAUCCGACGACCUGGAAGAGGCCAAACUCGCGGUCAUCGUCAUCGUCGUCGAUCCCGCGGCCACCGGCCUCCACUCGUCGCGCCAAGACGUCGAGGAGCUCCGCCAUCGUCGUCUUCGUCGCCCUCGCCUUUCGGUUGGAUCUCGGACGGACUGCUGCCUCGCCAUCGCGCGGUCUUCUCCGCACGGCUGCCGCAUCUCGUCGACGAGCGCGGCGCGUCCAGCCACCCCUGCACCUUCCAACCAUGUCCAUGAGCUCCACCACUACGAGACCGACGCCGCUGCUACCCAGUACGACUACGGUGUUGACGACCCCUCUCUCUUGCCAGAGCAACUAGAUGGUGGAGCCCAGGAUCCAGACGCCACCUUCGACGACAACUGCUACUACACUGAGGGUGCCUACGACUACGUGGAGGCCGCCGACGACCAGGAGUAGUUAGGAGGCUCCCAGGCAGGAGGCCUUGCCUUUUCGAUCGAUGUUGCUUUUGUGCUAGCCUUCUUAAGGCAAAAACUUGUCUAACUUAUGUCUGUACUCAGAUAUUGUUGCUUCCGCUGACUCUUGUGUAUUCGAGCUUAUGUAUUCGAGCCCUUGAGGCCCCUGGCUUGUAAUAUAGAGCUUGUAUUAUUUAAAUUUGUGUCUAGAGUUGUGUUGUGAUAUCUUCCCGUGAGUCCUUGAUCUUGAUCGUAUACAUUUGCGUGUAUGAUUAGUGUACGAUUGAAUCGAGGGCGUCACACCAUCCCAG
rnacentral:rRNA from 1 species